rnacentral:lncRNA from 1 species
ACACCUCCGGCGCCACGUCGAUGGUGCGGCCGGUGAACCCCGGCAGGGGGGAGUCCGAGUAGUUCUUCACAUAGAACCACUGGUUGUGCCACCCCUUGUGGGACGCCGAGGUCUUCAUCGCCAUAUACUCCUUGGAGCGAGUAUGGCGGAGGUGGAUCCCGGCGCACCCAAUCGGCACCGGAGGCGACCGCUGCUGGCUCCCCCUCUUCUCCGUCUUCUGGUACAAACUCACUGUGAAAAAGUACUUCCACAGCGAGAAGUUGGGCUCGAUGCCCAGGAACCCCUCGCACAGUGCGACGAACACCGCAAUAUGCUGGAUCCCGUUGGGAUUAAGGUGCUGGAGCUCGAGCCCGU